AAAAAGAUAAGCUAACCUAAGCUCUUGGGUUCAUACCCCAACCAUAAAGAUUUUACCUCUUUUCUUUUUA
rnacentral:tRNA from 1 species